rnacentral:misc_RNA from 1 species
CUUGAUUGCCUAGUAUGAAAAGUGGAUCUGAAAUUGGAAACAAGCGCAGAUCUAAUGAGCAGAGAAGAGAAAUUCUAAACGAAAACCAAAACUGGCGAUUAGAAAGAAACCUUAACGGAUUAAAAUCGAGAGAGAGAUUUGAGAGAAUUUCUAGACGAAUGAGCCUCUUGGUAAGCACUGUAUUGAAAUGGAAAAGGCACAAAAAAAUUUUAUCUCCCGCCCUACGCCAUGAGAAUUAGGUUCCUUGGAAAAAAAUUACAGAAAAA